UAAAAUUUAUAAAAUUAGGUAGUAAAGAAAUUUCUGAAACCUAAAGAAUUUGGCGGUAUUUUAAAUAAUUGGAGGAACCUGUUAUUUAAUUGACAACCCGCAACAAAUCUUACCUAAAUUUUAUUUGUAUAUCGUCGUUUUUGAUAAUAUUUCAAAAUUAUAAUCAAUAAAAAUAAAUUUUUUAAAAUCAGAUCAAGGUGCAGUAUAUUUAGGUCAUAAUGGGUUACAAUAUAAUUAUAUAUAAUGGAUAUAAAAUUGAAAUUAUAUUGAAAGUGGAUUCAAAAGUAAUAUUAAAUUAAAAUGUUAAUUUGAUUAAAAAUUUAAAAUAUGC
rnacentral:rRNA from 1 species